CGAAGGGGGCGAGCGUUGUUCGGAUUUACUGGGCGUAAAGGGCGCGCAGGCGGCUUAUCAAGUCAGGCGUGAAAGCCCCGGGCUUAACCUGGGAGGUGCGUCUGGGACUGGUAGGCUAGAGUUCGGGAGAGGAGCGUGGAAUUCCCAGUGUAGAGGUGAAAUUCGUAGAUAUUGGGAAGAACACCGGUGGCGAAGGCGGCGCUCUGGACCGAGACUGACGCUGAGGCGCGAAAGCGUGGGGAGCAAACAGGAUUAGAUACCCUGGUAGUCCACGCUGUAAACGAUGUGUGCUAGACGUUGGGGAGCCUAGCUCUUCGGUGUCGCAGCUAACGCUUUAAGCACACCGCCUGGGGAGUACGGCCGCAAGGUUA
rnacentral:rRNA from 1 species